UAGGGAAUAUUGGACAAUGGGUGAGAGCCUGAUCCAGCCAUGCCGCGUGCAGGAAGAAGGCGUUAUGCGUUGUAAACUGCUUUUUGCCAGGGGAUAAAAAGACCGUGCGCGGUUAAUUGAAGGUACCUGGUGAAUAAGCCACGGCUAACUACGUGCCAGCAGCCGCGGUAAUACGUAGGUGGCAAGCGUUGUCCGGAUUUAUUGGGUUUAAAGGGUGCGUAGGUGGCCCUGUAAGUCAGUGGUGAAAUAUCUCAGCUUAACUGAGAGGGUGCCAUUGAUACUGCAGGGCUUGAGUACAGAUGAGUAGCGGAAUUGACGGUGUAGCGGUGAAAUGCAUAGAUAUCAAGAGGAACACCUGAGGCGAAGGCGAGUUGCUAGGCUGACACUGACGCUGAGGUACGAAAGCUAGGGGAGCGAACGGG
rnacentral:rRNA from 1 species